GACGAACGCUGGCGGCGUGCUUAACACAUGCAAGUCGAGCGGAUCGGCGAACGGGUGAGUGACGCGUGAGUGACUGCCCCCCUCUCUGGGAUAACAGUUGCAAACGGCUGCUAAUACCGGAUCGGUGGGGAUGACUCGGGUCCUAUCAGCUUGUGGGUGGGGUAGUGGCCUACCAAGGCGACGCCGGGUAGCCGGCCUGAGAGGGCGACCGGCCACAUUGGGCUGAGAUACGGCCCAAAGUCCUACGGGAGGCAGCAGUGGGGAAUAUUGCACAAUGGGGGAAACCCUGAUGCAGCAACGCCGCGUGCGGGAUGACGGCCUUCGGGUUGUAAACCGCUUUCAGCCAGGACGCGGUAGUGGCAGAAGAAGCACCGGCUAACUACGUGCCAGCAGCCGCGGUAAUUC
rnacentral:rRNA from 1 species